rnacentral:rRNA from 1 species
CAACACGGGGAGGUAGUGACAAGAAAUAACGAUACGGGGUCUUAAUAGGUCUCGCAAUUGGAAUGAGUACAAUUUAAAUCCUUUAACGAGGAUCAAUUGGAGGGCAAGUCUGGUGCCAGCAGCCGCGGUAAUUCCAGCUCCAAUAGCGUAUAUUAAAGUUGUUGCAGUUAAAAAGCUCGUAGUUGGAUUUCGGAAUGGGCCUGUUGGUCCGCCGUGAGGUGUGUUACUGACUGGUCUGUUCUUCUUCGCAAAGACUGCGUGUGCUCUUUAUUGAGUGUGCGUAGGAUUUACGACGUUUACUUUGAAAAAAUUAGAGUGUUCAAAGCAGGCUAUCGCUUGAAUACAUGAGCAUGGAAUAAUGGAAUAGGACUUUGGUUCUAUUUUGUUGGUUUCUAGGACCGAAGUAAUGAUUAAGAGGGACAAUUGGGGGCAUCCGUAUUUCGUUGUCAGAGGUGAAAUUCUUGGAUUUACGAAAAACGAACAACUGCGAAAGCACUUGCCAAGAGUGUUUUCAUUAAUCAAGAACGAAAGUUAGAGGAUCGAAGACGAUCAGAUACCGUCCUAGUUCUAACCAUAAACGAUGUCGACUAGGGAUCAGCGGGCGUUAUUGUACGACCUCGUUGGCACCUUACGGGAAACCAAAGUUUUUGGAUUCCGGGGGAAGUAUGGUUGCAAAGCUGAAACUUAAAGGAAUUGACGGAAGGGCACCACCAGGAGUGGAGCCUG